rnacentral:rRNA from 1 species
ACGAACGCUGGCGGCGUGCCUAACACAUGCAAGUCGAACGGAGUCAUUUUGAAGUAGCAAUACGGAUGGAUGACUUAGUGGCGCACGGGUGAGUAACACGUAGGUAACCUUCCCUUAAGCGGGGGACAACCUCGCGAAAGCGGGGCUAAUACCCCAUAAGACCACGAAUUGAAAUAUUUGUGACCAAAGGAGCAAUUCGCUUAAGGAUGGGCCUGCGGCCUAUCAGGUAGUUGGUGAGGUAACGGCUCACCAAGCCUAAGACGGGUAGCCGGUCUGAGAGGACGGACGGCCACACUGGAACUGAGACACGGUCCAGACUCCUACGGGAGGCAGCAGUGGGGAAUUUUGCACAAUGGGCGAAAGCCUGAUGCAGCGACGCCGCGUGAAGGAUGAAGGCCUUCGGGUUGUAAACUUCUUUUAUUGGGGACAAUAAUGAUGGUACUCAAUGAAUAAGCCACGGCUAACUCUGU